rnacentral:rRNA from 1 species
UACAGAGGGUGCGAGCGUUGUUCGGAAUUACUGGGCGUAAAGAGCGUGUAGGCGGUUUAGCAAGUCAGAUGUGAAAUCCCGGGGCCUAACUCCGGAAGUGCAUUUGAAACUGCUAGGCUCGAGUGAUGUAGAGGUUGGCGGAAUACCCAGUGUAGAGGUGAAAUUCGUAGAUAUUGGGUAGAACACCGGUGGCGAAGGCGGCCAACUGGGCAUUAACUGACGCUGAGACGCGAAAGCGUGGGUAGCAAAC